ACUCAGCAAGCUUAUCAUUUUCAGCUCCCAAAUUUCGUACUCCAUCCUUUCUCCAUGGAAGAUCAUCAACCAAAUUUCAAAGGAGCAUAACUUCUUCGUUUCUCAACGAAAUUGGACGAUUCUUGUGGCCACGGAACGAGAAGAAGGAGAGCUACUGAUCUAGCCCUAUUGUUCAAGGUGUUCUUGAGUUGAAUUGAAGCAAAGUUGAUGGUGAAUUUGAGCUUGAAGUGUUUGGCCAUGAUCAACAAUCCAAGACUCGACGAAGCGACUAUCGACAAGGCUUGAGGGGAACGGAUCGAGAUGUCUUCGUGUUUAUUUAAAGAUUAUGGAUAGCAAGUGGGAUAGCAUGAUAUUAUUUGGAAAGUCAAGCUUCCGAAGUUUUAAUUCUCGGAAGUCAUUUGCACAAGAAGUGAAAGAAGGUUUUCAUUCUAGCAGUCCGCAGUAGUCUAGAUGUUUUUGUCUAUGUAUUUGACUGGCGCAUUUUAACUCUGAUAUUUUUGUAAAAUGGGGUCACAUGUAUUUUG